CUAGGAAUCUUGCGCAAUGGGGGAAACCCUGACGCAGCAACGCCGCGUGAGUGAAGAAGGCCUUCGGGUUGUAAAGCUCUUUUAGCAGGGACGAACGCAAUGACGGUACCUGCAGAAAAAGCACCGGCUAACCCUGUGCCAGCAGCCGCGGUAAUACAGGGGGUGCAAGCGUUAUUCGGAAUUACUGGGCGUAAAGGGCGCGUAGGCGGCCGUGUAAGUCUGAUGUGAAAUCCCCGGGGUCAACUCGGGAAUUGCAUUGGAAACUGCACGGCUCGAGUAUAGGAGAGGAGAGCGGAAUUCCUGGUGUAGAGGUGAAAUUCGUAGAUAUCAGGAGGAACACCGGUGGCGAAGGCGGCUCUCUGGACUAUUACUGACGCUGAGGCGCGAAAGCGUGGGGAGCAAACAGG
rnacentral:rRNA from 1 species